rnacentral:rRNA from 1 species
UACGAAGGGUGCAAGCGUUACUCGGAAUUACUGGGCGUAAAGCGUGCGUAGGCGGUUCGUUAAGUCUGUCGUGAGAGCCCUGGGCUCAACCUGGGAAUUGCGAUGGAUACUGGCGAGCUAGAGUACGGUAGAGGAUGGUGGAAUUCCCGGUGUAGCGGUGAAAUGCGUAGAGAUCGGGAGGAACACCCGUGGCGAAGGCGGCCAUCUGGACCAGUACUGACGCUGAGGCACGAAAGCGUGGGGAGCAAACAGG